rnacentral:rRNA from 1 species
AAAAACCCAUAAGAGGUCCAGCCUGCCCAGUGAUUCUGUUCAACGGCCGCGGUAUCCUAACCGUGCGAAGGUAGCGUAAUCACUUGUUCUUUAAAUGAGGACUAGUAUGAAUGGCACCACGAAGGUUAUACUGUCUCCUUCCUCUAAUCAGUGAAACUAAUCUCCCCGUGAAGAAGCGGGGAUAAACCUAUAAGACGAGAAGACCCUAUGGAGCUUUAAACACAGUAAUAAAUGCCCCCCCCCCUUUUUUCUAUCCAAAUCUCCGGAAAACUACUUUAUCUGAGCAUCCUAAUUACAAGUUUUAGGUUGGGGUGACCGCGGAGUAAAAAAUAACCUCCACAGUGAAUGGGAUCUCUCCCUAAACUCAGGGCCACAGCCCUAAAAAUCAAUAAAUUGACACCCAUUGACCCAAUAUUUUUGAUCAAUGAACCAAGUUACCCUAGGGAUAACAGCGCAAUCCACUUCAAGAGCUCCUAUCGACAAGUGGGUUUACGACCUCGAUGUGGAUCAGGGUACCCCAGUGGUGCAGCCGUGCAAA